GACAGAGGGUGCAACGUUGUUCGGAAUUACUGGGCGUAAAGCGCAUGUAGGCGGCCCGGCAGGUCGGAUGUGAAUCCCUCGGCUCAACCAAGGAAGUGCAUUCGAAACCGCCAGGCUCGAGUCCCGGAGAGGAUGGUGGAAUUCUCGGUGUAGAGGUGAAAUUCGUAGAUAUCGAGAGGAACACCGGCGGCGAAGGCGGCGUUCUGGACUGCAACUGACACUGAGGAACGAA
rnacentral:rRNA from 1 species